GCAAAGCGCAUUAAAAUAAAAUUGUAAUAAAAAAGUGAAAUAUUUAUAAUGAAAUUUUCUUAAUAAAACGCAAUUUGAAAUAUUGCAUGUUCACAAGCAAAUGAAUGGUAAUACAUUUUCGCAUCCCAUCGAAAAAAGUUUGUCGCAACAUUCACUGCGCGCAGUAAUUAACGGUUAUAAAAUUGAUGAAAUGUGCAUGAGCCAGUAAUAACGACAAUACAAUCGGCUAUAAAAAUUACAAAUGCGCCUUUGCACGGCUAGAAAUAAAGUUAUAAAAGAUCCUUGCACGAUCAUUCAAAUAAAUGUGCGUCGACGUGCCUCUAUAACAUACAUAUUUACAUACAUUUGUACAUAUGUCUGUAUGCCUGUAUGUCUUUAUGUGAACAAGUAAUACAUCCGAUAGUUAUCAACGAAGCAUUCGCACCAAAAAAUUACGUGUAAACAAACGCGUGCAGACGGGCACGCGAAAAAAAAUAACAACAACAAUAACAACAACAAUAACAACAAUAACAAGUAGCGUUCUACGUACAAUCUGCAAGCGCACACAAACAAACAUCAUACAUACAAGAAUAUAUACAUAUAUAUUACAAGUAGACAAGCAACCCACUAGCCCACCGGCCCACCGGCUCACCGGCUCACCAGUGCACCAGUACAGCAGUCCAGCCGUCCACCAGCCAAACAGCCAGCCACACAACUUACGCUAAGCGGAAAGCGCUAUUGAGUUCGAGCGGCGCAUACAAAACUUGGGAUUGCCCGUUUGUCUAUUACAUACAUACAUACAUACACACACAUAUAUAUGUAUAUAUAUAUAUGCUGUAUAUGUAAAAAUGUAUGCACGUCUGCUUUAGCUUUAACAGAUAUCAAUCCACAUGCUGAGCAUAAUUAAUUUGCCGUAUGCCAUUUGUGUCGGUCAGUGGUGGUAGAUGUGCUUGUGUUAGUGUGUUUUAUAUUGUAGAACGUUUAGUGGAGGAAAACAUACAUACAUACAGACAGACAUAUAGAUAUGUUGAGCGACACACAUAUGUACAUACAUAUAAACGAAUGUGCAAAAGUUGAGCGUUUUUUGUGAAGCUUCCUAGUGAUUAUUACUUACAUACAUGCAUACAUAUAUGCAUAUAUGUACAUAUAUCCAUUUAUAGCUGUAUAGCUAUGUAUAUUUCGUAUUUACAUGCAUUAAAACAAAUAUAAAAACAAUUUUAUAUGGAUCGCAACAGUUGAAAUUACGCGUUCGCUCUGAAUAAUGCCAACAGAGGCAGACAUACUCGUACAUACAUUUAAGCAUCUACAUAUACAUACAUAUGCUGUAUGUAUUACAUAUAUAUACAUUCACAGCAACGCUUACCAAUCGUGAAACUGAAUUCUACAAACAAGUAUUAUGCAUAGACGACAAAAA